rnacentral:lncRNA from 1 species
UCCUAUUACAACUAUUGGUCCAUUUGAUUGAAUUUAGUUGUAUAUAAUACUCCCACUAUGCUUAUAAAACAGUUUUUAAAGCAAGAGUAUAUGAUACUACUAACAUAAACUUUGCAUUCAUUUGAUGGACUAUAUAGUUGCCUUAGGGCCUUAGGAUGACUAUGAACCUUUGUUUAGAUUCAACACGAGCCUAGUGUUGAAUCUCGAUCUAGGGAUGGUGAUUGAUUUUAGUUACGCAUUUAAUCACAUUAAGGCGUGUUGUCUUAGGGGCGUUGGACCCUCUACUCCAUUUUCAUGCAUAUCAAAUAAUACAAGAAAGGAGUACUUCAAAGUAAAGAUGAGCUUAUGCUCUUUACAACAUUUGAAUAAAACAAAUUACUUUAAAGUAAAGAAGAGCUUAUGCUCUUUUACAACAUUUGAUCAAAUCAAAUUACAACCAAAAUCUAAUCUACACAUUCCCAUGGUUCAAACAAAUUUGAAAACGGCCUUUCACAUAGCUCAAUUAUCGUAGGCUUAGGUUCAUAAUCACCCUUUAAUUAAUUAACACUUUAACUAAUUAAAUUGAAUGCAACAUUUUCAUUUGGUUUUUGUAUCCAUAGAAUUGAUUUAAAUGGAGUUAAAUGAAAUGAAAAUCCAAUUCUCAUUUAAAGAGACAAAACCAUUUUUGUUCUCAACCUAAUUUGGGGCCAAAAUGCAAUAACCUCAACUUUUUGGGCUAUGUUGCAAAAACAUAAACUUUUGGGGUCACUUUGUAAAAACACAAAAGUCCACUACUUCAUGUAAUUACAACUAGAACCCAAAAAUUUCAACAAAUGCAAAAACUUCAUUAAAGGAGCAAAACAAUUUGUCCUUUAAUGAUUUUGGGCGUUUACGUAAAUACGUAAACUUUUGGGUCAAACUACAAAUUACACAAAAGUACCAAAACUUUAUGUAAUUGCAUAAAAGCCCCAAAAACACCCCACUUGUAGGGUGGCCGGUUUUGGAGAGAAGGGAGUGAUGUGUGUAUUGAUUUGUAGUUUUAGACAUAAAGUCAUGCAAGUGGUGCAUGACAUAAAUGUCAUGCAAGUGGUGUGUGUGAAAAGGGAAUUAAUCCUUACACACCCACCAAUAUUUCCAUCACCUUUCUAAACAAAUAUCUAAUACAUUUAAACAUAUGAAAAACAUAAAACAUAAACUUUAUGAAAUAAAUCAAAACUUUGAAUCAAAACACCAAACUUUUUGUUCUUGGCAAAAAUGUCAAGAACAAUGAAGAACACUCAUGAAAAACACAAAAAAAAUUUCCAUGAACAUUUUUCACCCAAAAACAUCCCAAAACCAUUCAAACUUAAGCGAAAUAACAUAUAACCAAACUAGGGUACAUAGGGGUUCCAAAAGUUACUUGAAAACAUUUUUAACAAGUCAAACAAGAACCCAAAAAUCCACCCUUUGGAUUUAGCCGAAAAUUCCCAAAAACAUGGCACCAAAUUUUAGCUCCAAUAUUCAU